GCAGAAAUGCGCCCCCUUCGUUUUCUUCAGCUAAAACUGCUCCCUUUUUAUUAGCAUCCUUCAGGCUCACUUGCUGCUCUAGCUAGCUCAAGCUUGCUUGCUUGCUCAAUCACUCUUGCAGUGUCAGUGUGACAGUGUCAGUGUUGCUAAUCAAUUAAGGGAGAGAUUUAUAUGUUAUUAGGUGGUUAAUUAAUCUUUGUGUUGUUGCAAGAAUGGAAGGGCUGAUACCUCUGGUUUACAAGGCCAUAGUAGAGUACAGGAAGGCAAGCAGGCAGGUCACCCUGGGGAGCUUCUUCCUCGUCACCACCGUCGACGACCAGCUCCGCGGCGGCUCCGGCCGGUGGUGCUCGCCGUCCCUCUCGCCGACGGCGAGCGCCGCCCAGCUGGUGUCACCGCUGCUGCGGUCGGCGGCGCCGCGCCGCCACCGUGCAGGAUAAGGGUCAAAUGCUUCACAAGGAGGAGUACCAUAGACUUGUACCAUAAAUAUGUGUCGAAUAAUUGGCACGGGUGAAUGUGAGGUGUUGGUCCAAACUCCAAAGGGAGUAAUAGCAGUAGCUAGCACCAGGAGCAAAACUAAUACAUAUGCUUCAGAAAAUUCUAUCUGCAUGCCCUAAGUGUGUCUGAUGUGUGCUGGAUAUAUGAAUAUAAUCCAGUUCAGCAGCUUGGUGAAUGUAUAGCACAGGUACAAAGGAAUAAGGAUGUGCUUGUACUGUAUAAAUCGAGCGAAUUUGUGCUUGAUGUCAUACUAUGAAUAAUAAGUGGAAAUGUUUAUAU